ACGAAACACAUUAAGUGCACGAACAGCAUUCACAUAAGACUGUCUGCGAGAUGAUCUGAUCUGUUGCCCAGGGCAAAGAGAAACUUGUUCCGCUAGUUACUAUUAAUCGGAAAUUGUUUAACUUGUCUGAUAAACAUCUGAUUGGUCUAUAAGUAUACAGCGUGCAACGUAACGUUCGUUGUCGUUAUCAAUCGUGAAAUGUAUAAUUCCAUACCUUAAUAUGAUGCUACUUCUCUUUCAGCACAUAAUCAUUUAGAACACGUCCAAGACAUUGAAAUAACUUUAUCGUAUCACUGACUGCACUGACUCUUUCAUUUGUGAAAAUUACACUCACUAAACUUUAUCACCGUUAUAUGCGUCGCCAUUUAAUAUUACAUGCGCGAAAUUGAAACGCGCAUUUGAAUUCAGACACUCAUCCCUCUGGUGGUGAAAUAGAGUACUUGACUUGUGAUCCAUAGGGUCGAGUACACGAAGAACAAUGAAUCAUAGUAAGGGUUAGAUGCAGUAUUGAAAUAAAGAGAUGGGAUUUCUUUUGUAGAGUUUGACUCCCUAAAAUACUUUCAAGAUGAAUGACUAACACGCUGUGUCAAUUUUUCUUCCUUUUGUAAAAAAGGAAACUGUAACGCUUCGUGCUGUACCGGUUGACAUCAUUAUCAUUACCACUUUUGCGUAAAAGGAAAUUGAAAUCGCUCUUUAAUCAAGCAUACAGUGUAAGGAGAAAAACGAUCAAGAAAACACGUCAACAACAGAUUGGAAAAUUAGAGCAGAGAUGAGUGCGUGCAAUGGAUUCGGAAAGAUCUGUCAUCGCUUUCGAAAAUUUCUCCCUUUUUCCUCGAGGCAGACGAAAGACCCCUUUACAACUACCCGAGUCGCGGGGAAGCUACGAGAAAUGGCCCUGAUAGCCUGUAAACAAGUGAAACAGAACUUUCACGGCCACAAGCUCGACCUGGUCACUUCGUUUUAGGUGUACAGAUAUUACAUAUAUAGUACAUACGAGGUCGGAUAAAAAACGAAGCAGAAACAGCAACGGUUAUCCCUAGCCUGGUCUUUGUGAGAGCGGAAUCGACGCAUAAAAAGGAACAGGUUAUCGAAUUAAAGCGAUACCGGUCCCGAGACGCGUAAUUUCUAUCCCCAGGCCAUUCCAGAAUAACAUUUUGGGAGGCAACGGUACACGCCUCGGGCGAAUCUUUCGAUAGCUUCCAUCUUUGAUUCUCGAUUUAUGAGUUUGAAUCUAUUCCAAAUAUAUAGCGAACGUUCGUAUUCGCGGGUGAAAAAAUGACGGAUAUUAUUUGUUUACAGAUACGUCUUUCCACUAUAGUACCAUGGAAACCCAGGCGAAAAAAUGCUUCAUACGCAAUAAGAUCGUUUUCGUUUACUUACAAACUCGGAUGGAUCACAUUACACUCUACGCUUUACAACGCCAUGGUUGGGAGAUGUUCAAGAUAGUGUCUAGAACGCGUGACGAAUACACACACUUUUCUAACACACUCCAAUGGAUUUCCAGUUAGAUAAUAAUAAAAGUCAAAAAAAGAAAAAAAGGAACAUGUUUAUCGAUUGCACGUGCGAAAAUUAUAGUGUAAAAGUAAAUGUUUCUCGGAAAAAGGUUAUGUUACGCGUUCAACCGCGAAAUACAGUAUCACGAUUGUUUACUAAAUUACACAAUUACACGUUACAGAGAAACGAGUUCGAAAAAUGUAACAAUGAAAUGUGCAAAUUGAUUUCGUAUCAUUACUUUGCUGCUUUUUUUCACGUUAAUGCUCUACAAGAAUCUUAUCAUUUCAAUAUUUGCAAUUACGACACAUAAUGAUUGUUUUCUCUGCAAUAUCGAUCACUUUAUCGUGUUAUUCGUAAUAGAUUAAUUUAUUUAUCUGUCGGUCAGGAACUAUCGUUAAAGCUUAUCAAAAGUAUAAACAAAAAAAAAUUACUCAAAGUUAUAUACGUAUGUAUAUUAACUGACAUUUACACACACGUGCGAUCGUUAAAUUUUUCGUCACUUUCGUGCAGUUUGCUAUGUUUGUUUCUAUUUCCCACACACACGUGUCUUUCUACCCUCCUGCAGCAGUGACAGUGAAUUAAAACAACACUUCGUGUGCUCGUGUCCGUUUAUAUUUAGAGCGUGGAUGCACAAGAAAACGUAAGAGGCUACUUGGUAAGAGCGGAGUCACGUUGCUUACAACGUUACAUGAUAUCGAUCGCCAGACUGUUAUCCGAUAACGAAAGUUAUUACUAAUGUAUCAAUAAAGAUUACUUAUUAUUUUUUACUUUUGUAUCAGAUGAUAAUGCAAGUUAUUAAUAUGUAAAUUGAUAUAUGUUUUCAAAGUAAAAAUAUUCCUUCCGCAGGAAUCAAAUAAAGAUUUUUACGAAUAAGAAACGAAGACAAUCGGCUUUGUCUGGUGUAGAAAAGUCAAUAUUAUCGUGUCUGUCGGUACGACAUAAAGACUUAUGUACCUCGACUGUUUAUAAAUGGAAUGAUAUUUCAGAGAAUGAUUAAAUUCGUUAAUUAUUUUUAAAAAAACAAUAGUGAUUUUCGAAGUACACAAAAAUGAUUAAUGUAUUAAUUAAAAUUUGCAAUAAUUGAAAUAAUCUAUGAC
rnacentral:lncRNA from 1 species